rnacentral:rRNA from 1 species
CAGUAGCCGCGGUAAUGCGUAGGUGGCAAGCGUUGUCCGGAAUUAUUGGGCGUAAAGGGCUCGCAGGCGGUUUCUUAAGUCUGAUGUGAAAGCCCCCGGCUCAACCGGGGAGGGUCAUUGGAAACUGGGAAACUUGAGUGCAGAAGAGGAGAGUGGAAUUCCACGUGUAGCGGUGAAAUGCGUAGAGAUGUGGAGGAACACCAGUGGCGAAGGCGACUCUCUGGUCUGUAACUGACGCUGAGGAGCGAAAGCGUGGGGAGCGAACAGGAUUAGAUACCCGUGUAGUCCCUGUCUCUUAUAC